rnacentral:rRNA from 1 species
GUUGUAUGGUUAAGUGACUAAGCGUACACGGUGGAUGCCUGGGCAGUCAGAGGCGAUGAAGGACGUACUAACUUGCGAUAAGCGCAGAUAAGGCAGUAAGAGCCGUUUGAGUCUGCGAUUUCCGAAUGGGGAAACCCAACUGCAUAAGCAGUUACUGUUAACUGAAUACAUAGGUUAACAGAGCAAACCGGGGGAACUGAAACAUCUAAGUACCCCGAGGAGAAGAAAUCAACCGAGAUUCCGGUAGUAGCGGCGAGCGAACCUGGAUUAGCCCUUAAGCGCUCGGUGAAGUAGGUGAACAAGCUGGAAAGCUUGGCGAUACAGGGUGAUAGCCCCGUAACCGACGCUUCAUCGAGCGUGAAAUCGAGUAGGGCGGGACACGUGAUAUCCUGUCUGAAUAUGGGGGGACCAUCCUCCAAGGCUAAAUACUCCUGACUGACCGAUAGUGAACCAGUACCGUGAGGGAAAGGCGAAAAGAACCCCUGUGAGGGGAGUGAAAUAGAACCUGAAACCGUGUACGUACAAGCAGUAGGAGCACCUUCGUGGUGUGACUGCGUACCUUUUGUAUAAUGGGUCAGCGACUUAUAUUCAGUGGCAAGGUUAACCGUAUAGGGGAGCCGUAGCGAAAGCGAGUCUUAACUGGGCGUUCAGUCUCUGGAUAUAGACCCGAAACCGGGUGAUCUAGCCAUGGGCAGGUUGAAGGUUGAGUAACAUCAACUGGAGGACCGAACCGACUAAUGUUGAAAAAUUAGCGGAUGACUUGUGGCUAGGGGUGAAAGGCCAAUCAAACUCGGAGAUAGCUGGUUCUCCCCGAAAGCUAUUUAGGUAGCGCCUCGGACGAAUACUACUGGGGGUAGAGCACUGUUAAGGCUAGGGGGUCAUCCCGACUUACCAACCCUUUGCAAACUCCGAAUACCAGUAAGUACUAUCCGGGAGACACACGGCGGGUGCUAACGUCCGUCGUGGAGAGGGAAACAACCCAGACCGCCAGCUAAGGUCCCAAAGUAUUGCUAAGUGGGAAACGAUGUGGGAAGGCUCAGACAGCUAGGAUGUUGGCUUAGAAGCAGCCAUCAUUUAAAGAAAGCGUAAUAGCUCACUAGUCGAGUCGGCCUGCGCGGAAGAUGUAACGGGGCUAAGCA